rnacentral:lncRNA from 1 species
AGAAUCAUAAUCAUAGGCACUGGCAGAAUAAGCAUUAUUCACAGAAUCAAAAUAGGUAGACAUGUAGAAAAGGGGGGGGGGAGAAGAAUGCAAUGAAAAUAAGCAACUAAAGUUAUCUAAAUGCAACACACAUGACACCACACACAAAACACAACAUCACACUCACAACACAAGAUAAAACACAACACACACUAACACAACAAAAGACCUGAGACUGAACCGUUGGUCCCCGGACCCGGCGCCAAAAUUUGAUGGGUGUCACACCCCAAACAAAUUUAAUAUGCAAUUAAGAAUGCAGUAUAGACUAGGAAGUGACUUCUAGGUCAUCUCUCAAGGACCAAAUGUGGUUCAGGAAUUAGGUCUAACACGUAGUGGGGGGUUUGUGAAAGGAUUGUGAAUGCGGAUAAACUAAAUUAAAACACUGAUGCAACAGAAAUGUAAAAACGGAAUUGCAAACACAGAUGUAAAAAUGGAAUCAAAUGCAGAAUGAAAACAAUUGUUCAUUAACUCAAUUACUAUGCUUGCAAUCACAGAUAAACGUCACGUACACACUACUCUAAUCUAAAUCCGACAUGAAUCACCCAACUAAGCGAAGGUUAAUUCGGUCUUCAGAAUUGCAAACUAAGCGAAUGCAAUGCACAAAUCUAAUCAGUCAUGCACCAUACAGUCUAAUCAACUAUGCAGUAUGACAAGAAUCUCACGAAUAAACUACUCUAGCCUUUAGUCCAGCA